GAUUUAAGAUGUCAACACGUUUCAGAAUACCUGUAGUCGAUUGAUUUCCCGAUCAAGUAAUGAACUUGGCCCACAUUGCUAGUGCGAACAAGCCUGUGAAGGGGAAGCUUACCUCAUGGUAGUUAGAGAUGUUCAAGAGAAAAUUUUUUGAGCAAUUUGUAGACAUUGAUAUGGUAUUCAACAAUCUAAUUAUCGACCAUAUGUCGUUGAGAGAAGUGAAGAGCAUGAUAGCUAACUUGAUGAGAUUCUCUGUUGGCAGAAAGGUCGUCACGUUUUCGAAGGAUGAUUUUUUGUUGAUGACUGGUUUGUGGCGAUCCCCUAUGCAAGUUGAUCAGAAUAAGGAGUCCUCAUAUGAACUUGCAAUCAAGUAUUUUGGUAAUCGAGUGAUGGACACAUUACAUAUCAGUCUACUAGAAGAAAGAUAUAAGGAGUUGGAGUUCGAAGAUGAUGAUGAUGCUGUGAAGAUCACCUUAGUGUACUACUCAGAGGUUGCAAUGAUGAGAAAGAACAAGCAGAAAAGUGCAGUGAAACUUAAAUGAUUUAAGGACGUUCAGAACAUAGAGUAUUACAACAGUCUAGAUUGGGGUACCAUUAUUUAGGAGAGGACACUCGAUGCCCUAAAGACUGCAUUAGAUGAUAAGAUAGUUUAUACAAGACGAAGGUGAAAGGAAAUAAAAAUUAUGUCGUGAAGUACUCUUUGCGUGGAUUUCUACAAGCGUUCCAAGUAUAGAUGUAUGAGAUUCUAGUAGCAUCGGUAGUUGGGAAUAUUACUGAAUGAAGGAGCAAGGUAGCUUUGCCUCAUAUAUUACGAUGGUCAUGCUCCCACUCAAUGUCCUUCAAAGUAUUCGAGAGAGAGAUAUUCGAGUCUAACAAUGUGAAAAUACCACCACUACACCUACUCCCAUCCCCCCUCUAUAUCCUCCAAAUACUACCACUACAUCUACUCCCAUCCCUCCUCUAUAUCCUCCAAAUACCACCACUACACCUACUCCCAUCCCCCCUUUAGAGCCCGAUAGCACAACAUCACCCACUGAUGUCCAACCUAUAGAGGUUGACGUCCCACUUAUACAGUCUGACGUGUCUACCUCACCCACCAUGCUUCCACAAAUAGGGAGCCCGAGUACAUCUUUUUCACCCACUAACAUCCCACAUCCAGAGGCCGACAUGUCUGACUUACUCACCAUCCCACAUCCAGAGGCUGACACUUCUAAUAUUGUUAUGAUCAUGCAAGGAGUUACAUUGGAAUCUCGAAGAACUAGUCGUAAGAGGAAAGACGUUGAUAAAUAUAGACCUCCAGCCCAACUAAAGAAGAAAAUAACAAAAGAUGACGAAACUAGGGUACACUUUCUGUCUGAAAGUCAAAAGGUUAAGUAUCUUUUCUGGGGUGUGCCUAUGUCAUUAUUCAGAGUGAUGGUCGGGUACAACGUAGCACAUGACGCUCCACUUUCUAUCUUUACAUAAAUGAUGGGCUGGAUCACCAAUGAGAAUACAUAAAUGAGGUUCGAGAGAAUUCCUUUAAGCCACUAUCCAAGCAAUUUUUCAAAGAACUGAUUGAACCGAGUUCGUGGGUUGAGUGUGAUAGUUACCUUAAUGCUCGUAGCAGGGUAUUUAAACGGAUAAAGAAGAAGCAGAGACUGGAGGCUGCCCUAGUAUGGCAGGAUGAAGACAUGGACAAGGACUACGUCACUGGUAAAUUCGAUGUCAAAUGGAUAAAUGUGGAUUUCGUAUAUACUACAAUGAACAUUGGUGAGCACUGGAUGAUCCUUGCAAUGGACAUUAAUAGAGGCUAUAUAUUCAUGUUUGGUUCACUCUUGUCAUACACAUCAAUGAUGAAGCUCGGGACUUGGCUGGAGCCAUUGACUGUCACACUACCAUCCCUACUUUACUAUUGUGACGUGAAACAUUCAAAACCAGACCUAUCCACAUCCCGUUGGAAAAUCACCCGACCUAUCAAUGCAAACAUACAACACAGGUCACUUGAUUCUGACAUCUUUGCAAUAAAAUUACUAGAAUAUUUAGUGACUGAUGAUCCUUCCGUAAUCACUCAGGAGAGAAUGAGUGAAUAUAGGAUGUAGUUAGCAUGUCAGUUAUGGGCGAAU